rnacentral:rRNA from 1 species
CCUACGGGAGGCAGCAGUGGGGAAUAUUGGACAAUGGGCGAAAGCCUGAUCCAGCCAUGCCGCGUGUGUGAAGAAGGUCUUCGGAUUGUAGAGCACUUUAAGUUGGGAGGAAGGGCAGUAACUUAAUACGUUGCUGCUUUGACGUUACCGACAGAAUAAGCACCGGCUAACUUCGUGCCAGCAGCCGCGGUAAU